ACGGGGGGGGCAAGCGUUAUUCGGAAUUACUGGGCGUAAAGCGCACGUAGGCGGCUUUGUAAGUUAGAGGUGAAAGCCUGGAGCUCAACUCCAGAAUUGCCUUUAAGACUGCAUCGCUUGAAUCCAGGAGAGGUGAGUGGAAUUCCGAGUGUAGAGGUGAAAUUCGUAGAUAUUCGGAAGAACACCAGUGGCGAAGGCGGCUCACUGGACUGGUAUUGACGCUGAGGUGCGAAAGCGUGGGGAGCAAACAGGA
rnacentral:rRNA from 1 species